CCUACGGGUGGCAGCAGUGAGGAAUAUUGGUCAAUGGGCGGAAGCCUGAACCAGCCAAGUAGCGUGCGGGAUGAAUGCCCUAUGGGUUGUAAACCGCUUUUGUAUGGGGAUAACAUCCUCCACUUGUGGGGGUUUGUAGGUACCGUGCGAAUAAGGGCCGGCUAAUUCCGUGCCAGCAGCCGCGGUAAUACGGAGGGCCCGAGCGUUAUCCGGAUUCAUUGGAUUUAAAGGGAGCGUAGGCGGGGGUUCAAGUCAGCGGUAAAAUCUUGCGGCUCAACCGAGACCCGCAGUUGAAACUGGACGUCUUGAGUACACGACAGGCAGGCGGAAUUCGUGGUGUAGCGGUGAAAUGCAUAGAUAUCACGAAGAACCCCGAUUGCGAAGGCAGCCUACCGGAGUGCAACUGACGCUGAGGCUCGAAAGUGCGGGUAUCAAACAGGAUUAGAUACCCCGGUAGUC
rnacentral:rRNA from 1 species